rnacentral:rRNA from 1 species
AGUGAACGCUGGCGGUAGGCCUAACACAUGCAAGUCGAACGGCAGCACAGUAAGAGCUUGCUCUUACGGGUGGCGAGUGGCGGACGGGUGAGGAAUACAUCGGAAUCUACUUUUUCGUGAGGGAUAACGUAGGGAAACUUACGCUAAUACCGCAUACGACCUACGGGUGAAAGCAGGGGAUCUUCGGACCUUGCGCGAUUGAAUGAGCCGAUGUCGGAUUAGCUAGUUGGCGGGGUAAAGGCCCACCAAGGCGACGCUCCGUAGCUGGUCUGAGAGGAUGAUCAGCCACACUGGAACUGAGACACGGUCCAGACUCCUACGGGAGGCAGCAGUGGGGAAUAUUGGACAAGGGGGGCAAGCCUGAUCCAGCCAUACCGCGUGGGUGAAGAAGGCCUUCGGGUUGUAAAGCCCUGUUGUUGGGAAAGAAAAGCAGCAGGUUAAUACCCCGCUGUUCUGACGGUACCCAAAGAAUAAGCACCGGCUAACUUCGUG